UACAGAGGCCUCGAGCGUUAGGCGGAAUCACUGGGCUUAAAGCGUGUGUAGGCGGACUUCUAAGUACCUUGUGAAAUCCCACGGCUUACCCGUGGAACUGCUGGGUAUACUGGUUGUCUUGAGCCAUCUAGGGGCUACCGGAACAAAUGGUGGAGCGGUGAAAUGCGUAGAUAUCAUUUGGAACGCCAAUGGUGAAAACAGGUAGCUGGGGAUGUGCUGACGCUGAGACACGAAAGCCAGGGGAGCGAACGG
rnacentral:rRNA from 1 species